GACGAACGCUGGCGGCGUGCUUAACACAUGCAAGUCGAACGAGGUCCACCGCGUAGCAAUACAAGGGAAGACCUAGUGGCGAACGGGUGCGUAACACGUGAGGAACUUGUCCCGGUCUCUGGGAUAACAGUUGGAAACGACUGCUAAUACCGGAUGACGUCGGAAUCUCGCAUGGGAUACUGACGAAAGGGUUACUGGAUCGGGAGAGCCUCGCGGCCUAUCAGCUUGUUGGUGAGGUAACGGCUCACCAAGGCAUCGACGGGUAGCUGGUCUGAGAGGAUGAUCAGCCACACUGGGACUGAGACACGGCCCAGACACCUACGGGUGGCAG
rnacentral:rRNA from 1 species